rnacentral:lncRNA from 1 species
ACAGGUCGUAGGCGGGUGGGUACGACAUCCUGUAUGUGUAGGUUUGCACCUUUGGCUUUAGCCUGAACUGAUCUUGUAUUAUGUCAGCUAUUCUUGUGAUCCAAUCCACCUACUGCUGUUGCUGCUGCUGAUGGACGAUCAGCUGAGCCAUCAGCAUAUGCUGUUGAACUUGUGGCACAGUGAUCGGGUGGAAGAUUGG